rnacentral:rRNA from 1 species
AGAGUUUGAUCCUGGCUCAGGAUGAACGCUGGCGGCAUGCCUAAUACAUGCAAGUCGAACGAGAGGAAGGAAAGCUUGCUUUCCUGAAUCUAGUGGCGAACGGGUGAGUAACACGUAGGUAACCUGCCCAUGUGCCCGGGAUAACUUCUGGAAACGGAUGCUAAAACCGGAUAGGUAGCAGACAAGCAUUUGACUGCUAUUAAAAUGGCCUUGGCCAUGAACAUGGAUGGACCUGCGGUGCAUUAGCUGGUUGGUGAGGUAACGGCCCACCAAGGCGACGAUGCAUAGCCGGCCUGAGAGGGCGGACGGCCACAUUGGGACUGAGACACGGCCCAAACUCCUACGGGAGGCAGCAGUAGGGAAUUUUCGUCAAUGGGGGGAACCCUGAACGAGCAAUGCCGCGUGAGUGAGGAAGGUCUUCGGAUCGUAAAGCUCUGUUGUAAGAGAAAAACGGCACUCAUAGGGAAUGAUGAGUGAGUGAUGGUAUCUUACCAGAAAGUCACGGCUAACUACGUGCCAGCAGCCGCGGUAAUACGUAGGUGGCGAGCGUUAUCCGGAAUGAUUGGGCGUAAAGGGUGCGUAGGUGGCAGAUCAAGUCUGGAGUAAAAGGUAUGGGCUCAACCCGUACUGGCUCUGGAAACUGAUCAGCUAGAGAACAGAAGAGGACGGCGGAACUCCAUGUGUAGCGGUAAAAUGCGUAGAUAUAUGGAAGAACACCGGUGGCGAAGGCGGCCGUCUGGUCUGGAUUCUGACACUGAAGCACGAAAGCGUGGGGAGCAAAUAGGAUUAGAUACCCUAGUAGUCCACGCCGUAAACGAUGAGAACUAGGUGUUGGGGGAAUAACUCAGUGCCGCAGUUAACGCAGUAAGUUCUCCGCCUGGGGAGUAUGCACGCAAGUGUGAAACUCAAAGGAAUUGACGGGGGCCCGCACAAGCGGUGG